AGAAUCAACGCUGGCGGCGUGCCUCAGACAUGUAAGUCGAACGCGAAAGUUUCCUUCGGGGAGCGAGUAGAGUGGCGCACGGGUGAGUAACACGUAGGUAAUCUACCUUUGGAUGGGGAAUAACAACCGGAAACGGUUGCUAAUACCGCAUGAUGCAGCGGCACCUAAUGGUGACAGUUGUUAAAGCGGGGGAUCGAAAGACCUCGCGUCUGAAGAGGAGCCUGCGGCUGAUUAGCUAGUUGGUAGGGUAACGGCCUACCAAGGCAACGAUCCGUA
rnacentral:rRNA from 1 species